AAAGAUUGCUGGCAAAAUUAAUUGCCAAUUUUUUAUAGCUUUUUCCAAUUAAUGUGGAGUCAGAAACAAAGUGGAAGUGGGUAUUUUAUAAUAAAAUAUGAUUAUUUAAAUAUUUCCAAUGUCAACAUGUCUGUUUCACUGUUAUUCGGCUGUGUGAUUAUUAUUGAAAUUCUCAUCUCCCUCAUUACUGCUGCUCCAGAAAAGGACACACUGAUUAUCCUUAAGGAUCAAGUAGGUCGUAGAUCGUUCGUGAUAUCGAAGAAGGCGUUACGGUCGAUAUGGCCAGGAAUCAAGAAGGAGAAGAAACGCAUCGAUUUUAAAAAUCUACCUUCGUUAUUAAAAGAGAUUUAAACUCGA